rnacentral:rRNA from 1 species
UACGUAGGGUGCAAGCGUUAAUCGGAAUUACUGGGCGUAAAGGGCGCGCAGGCGGCUGCUCAAGUCAGGCGUGAAAGGCCUGGGCUCAACCCGGGAAUUGCGCUUGAGACUGGGCUGGCUUGAGUGCGGGAGAGGAUGGUGGAAUUCCCAGUGUAGAGGUGAAAUUCGUAGAUAUUGGGAAGAACACCGGUGGCGAAGGCGGCCAUCUGGACCGCAACUGACGCUGAGGAGCGAAAGCGUGGGGAGCGAACAGG